GCUGGGAGCAGGGCUCUGAGCAACCUAUUCUGGGCGAAGAUUGCUCCGCUUGGAACAAGAUGGUCUUUAGGGUCCCUUCCAAGCCCAAGCACCCAGGGAUUCCGUCAUUCAUUCUAUGGUCUCCGUUGUCCACUUCAGCCUGGGCCUGAACUCCUGGCACUGAUGUCACAGUGCACGCUCCAGCUAGAACUUCCAGCAUCCAGCAACGGCCACAACACAACCCUUGGCUCCUUGUGCCAGCACGCUCUUCAUUCACCCUGCUCCAAGCCUACCCCUGUCACCUUGUUGCCACCUGCUCCCUGAUUCCCCCAGCAGUCCCCAAAGCUCCCCAUCGCUUGGAUUUUGCUCUCCAUCCCUGCAGGAUGUCUGCAUUUGUUCCAAAAGAGCUAUGGCUGGCACAGACGGAGAGGAGGAGACGGACGUCGAUACACAGAC